rnacentral:rRNA from 1 species
UGGGCUUGACAUACACCGGAUCGCUGCAGAGAUGUAGUUUCCCUUGUGGCUGGUGUACAGGUGGUGCAUGGUUGUCGUCAGCUCGUGUCGUGAGAUGUUGGGUUAAGUCCCGCAACGAGCGCAACCCUUGUCUUAUGUUGCCAGCACGUGAUGGUGGGGACUUAUGAGAAACUGCCGGGGUUAACUCGGAGGAAGGUGGGGAUGACGUCAAAUCAUCAUGCCCCUUAUGU